AUUUCUUUUAUAAAUUGAUUUCAUUUUCUCUAUUUCAAAGAUUUGUAGAGCCUUUUUAGUGGUAUAUUGAGUUGUAUUGCACUUCUUUGACCCUCACUCCUAGCCCUGAUGUUAGUUUAUGAUUGGAUCAUGAUCGAGUGAGUGGUAGUCUUGAUCAUACUCCUUUUUAGUAGAGUAUUGGGAGGGUGCAUUAUGGCAUUUAUGCAUGGCUUGGCAGUAUCUGCAGGACACCUAUAGUCGAUGGGGGUUGAACAUCGGCCUUUGUGCACAUAGUAGCCUUCUGGGUGGGCGGAGCCCAGUCCCUUCCUAGGGGGGACACGGCCCUAGGCGUAGGAUCGGCCGGUCCUACGACUUAUAUUCUGCUUGCCGCCGGGCAUAGUAAGACC
rnacentral:lncRNA from 1 species